rnacentral:rRNA from 1 species
GUGGGGAAUAUUGGACAAUGGGCGAAAGCCUGAUCCAGCCAUGCCGCGUGUGUGAAGAAGGUCUUCGGAUUGUAAAGCACUUUAAGUUGGGAGGAAGGGCAGUAAGUUAAUACCUUGCUGUUUUGACGUUACCAACAGAAUAAGCACCGGCUAACUUCGUGCCAGCAGCCGCGGUAAUACGAAGGGUGCAAGCGUUAAUCGUAAUUACUGGGCGUAAAGCGCGCGUAGGUGGUUCAGCAAGUUGAAGGUGAAAUCCCCGGGCUCAACCUGGGAACUGCCUCCAAAACUACUGAGCUAGAGUACGGUAGAGGGUAGUGGAAUUUCCUGUGUAGCGGUGAAAUGCGUAGAUAUAGGAAGGAACACCAGUGGCGAAGGCGACCACCUGGCUCGGUUCUGACGCUGAGGCGCGACAGCGUGGGGAGCAAACAGGAUUAGAUACCCUUGUAGUCC